GACGAACGCUGGCGGCGUGCUUAACACAUGCAAGUCGAACGGUGAAGCGCUUGCCUUUUUGGUGGGUGUGGAUGAGUGGCGAACUGGUGAGUAACACGUGAGUAACCUGCCCUCUUCUUCUGGAUAACCUCAUGAAAGUGGGGCUAAUACGGGGUAUUCCGGGUCUGUCGCAUGGCGGGUUUGGGAAAGAUUGCGCCUUUGGUUGUUUUCGGUGGGGGAUGGGCUCGCGGCCUCUCAGCUUGUUGGGGGGGUGAUGACCUACCAAGGCGGUGACUGGUGGACGGCGUGAGAGGGUGAGCGGCCACAAUGGGACUGAGCCACGGCGCAGGCUCGUGCGGGAGGAGGCAGUGGGGAAUGUGGUAAAUCGGGAGCAUGCUGGAUGCAGCGACGGCGGGUGAGGGAUGGAGGCCUUCGGGUUGUGAACCUUUUUCGCCAGGGAAGAAGGCCUGCUCCUGUGUGGGUGGGUUGACGGUAGCUGGAAAAGAAGAGCCGGCUAACUACGUG
rnacentral:rRNA from 1 species